AACAUUUUUAUUCCCAUUUAAGCAACUUCCCAGGGACACACAUCCUCCAGGGGGCAGUGCUUGGACUCCAGCAGCCAUUUUGAAUUUUCCAGAGCCAGGUGUCCUCACAGAAUGGCAAGGUCUCAUGGAAAACUCCCCAAAGUAUUCCUUUGGUAGCCCCAUCCUGAGGAGGACCACCUCCCUGCAUCACACUGUUUGUUGAUGACAUCUUUGGCGGUCCACAGAACUAGGCCCCAAGCAGAGCACCAUGGCUGGACACUUCAGCAGGAAAAGCAGUCUGGAAGGCUAGCAGCCACGUGGCGUUGAUCUAAGCCAGCAGUUCCCUGAAGACCUCAUGCACAUGGCAGCCACCAGCCAGUGGGAAAAGCAGACAGGAUGCAAAGCUUUGGUUGAGGAUUCUGGGCACCCUCAACUUUCCUGAAAAUUAUGGGCAAUCCAACCCUUCCCCACAACCCUAGCAGGAGAUGCAGCCCUCUGUGCCCCUGGCUUCCCCUCCGCAGAGGCCUACUCUCAGCCUGGCACUGAGGGAUGCCCAUGAGAUGGGCGGGAGCAGACAGGGGGCUCCUCCCCAGGCCUUCCCCAGCACCACCCCCUCUGGGCCAUCAGCUUGGUAGCUCUUAAAACAGAUCCUCAGUGGCUCUCCAGCCUGUGACAUCUGUCCUGAAGCCCAGCCCUACCUCACUGCCUUCUGUCCUCGGGAAUCACACUCUUUCUGAGUAGGGUUUGGGUUCCAAGAGGCUAUUCUGCUCCUCUUACCAUCUGGUCCCUUCCUUCCAGGGCCCAAGGGUGGAAGGCAUGCUGCGGGCUCCAGCCCUGCUCCUGGUGUUCCUGGCUCCUGCCACGCAGAUGUCUUCCAACGAGGAAGGAAUAGAGUUGACAGUCACCAGGCAUACUGGAUCAUCUGUCGUAAUCACUUGUGAUAAACAAAGCACCUCCUACACCCACUGGUACCGAUUCCAGGAGGGGAUGGCCCCACACCGCAUUCUAUACUAUGAUUUCUACAAUUCAAAAGUUGUGCUGGACUCAGGAUUCAGUUCAACGAAGUACCAUGCUUACGAACAUGAAGGGAAGAAAUGUAAGCUUGUUAUCAGAAAUCUGCAAGAAAGUGACUCGGGAGUGUAUUACUGUGCUGUCUGGGAGAGCCACACAGAUGCAGGCCGCCCCCACACUGCACUAAAAUCCUGCCUGUGGCUGCCAAGAGCAGCCAUGUGCACAGCACAGACCCACAGCUGCCUCACUUCCUGCCCUGGCUGCCCUGUGCUCUGAACAGAGAGGAUUCCUGAGCUCAGUGC